rnacentral:lncRNA from 1 species
UGCCGCGCCGAGCGCCGCGCGCCCCUUAUAUAGGCCCGCGGGCCCCGCCCCCGGCCCGGCCACGCCCCUCGGGGCGGACACGCCCCCUCGCCGAGGCCACGCCCACAGCGGCACGGCCCCGCCCGGCCUGUGGAAGUGGAGAUCCCCCUUUUUCCCUUUUUUCCCUUUUUUCCCUUUUUUCCCCCUUUUCCCCUUUUUUCCCCUUUUUUCCCCUUUUUUUCUUUUCUUUUUUUUCUUUUCCUUUCCUUUUCUUUUUCUUUUUUCUCUUUUUUUUGGGGGGGGGCGAGUUUGUUUUUUUUGUUGUUGUUGUGUUUGUUUUUUUUUUAAAGGGAAUUUUUCAAGGAGAUUUAGCGCGCAGCCUGCACGCCGAACAGGCAAGCGGACAAACAAGAGACAAGGGGCCGCCCCUAUCGCGCCGCGGGAUGGCCGCACGUUUGGGGGGCGGCUUCCCUUUCCCCGCAGCCUGCCGCCCCUAAAUCGGCUCUGCGGCCCCGUGCAGCGUGCAGCACCACCCUCCUGUCCUGCAGCCCCACAAGAGCAGCUGCAGACUCCUCGUUUCCCAAAGACCUGACUUCAGCACAGCCCUGCAGCAUCGGGGCUGCGGCAGCACCCCCUGCCCCUCCCAGGGAACCAGCCCCCAGGCUGACAUCCCCUGCUCGCAGAACAUGCACAAAGCUGUGCAAAGGCGUUUUGCCUCAGCUACACAGUCCUCACAGUCCCAGUGCUGUGUGUGUGAGAUGGAAGCACCAGCACAGGAGCUGGGUGAGGAACGCCACCGCGCCACUUGGGACAGCAUUGGCUGGGCCUCUGCUCUCACCUCGCCUCGAUGCUGUGCCUUCUCUGAAGCACCCAGGAUUGAUAUGUGUCUGUGAAGAGCCCAGAGGUGCCUGGCUACAGGUGAACACAGUCAGGAGCACAGUGCUGGGCAAGCUGAAGGUUAGAGAGGAGAAAAAUUUGUACCACCUCCAAUGUUCGCAUUUUUGA